rnacentral:rRNA from 1 species
UACGAAGGGGGCUAGCGUUGCUCGGAAUCACUGGGCGUAAAGCGCACGUAGGUGGGUCGUUAAGUUGAGGGUGAAAUCCCAGGGCUCAACCCUGGAACUGCCUUCAAUACUGGCGACCUUCGAGUCCGGGAGAGGUGAGUGGAACUGCGAGUGUAGAGGUGAAAUUCGUAGAUAUUCGCAAGAACACCAGUGGCGAAGGCGGCUCACUGGCCCGGUACUGACGCUGAGGUGCGAAAGCGUGGGGAGCAAACAGG